rnacentral:rRNA from 1 species
GUGCCAGCAGCCGCGGUAAUACAGAGGUGGCAAGCGUUGUUCGGAAUUACUGGGCGUAAAGGGCGCGUAGGCGGCCCUCUAAGUCCCGUGUGAAAGUCCCCGGCUCAACCGGGGAACUGCACGGGAAACUGGAAGGCUUGAGUUCGGGAGAGGGAAGCGGAAUUCCGGGUGUAGCGGUGAAAUGCGUAGAUAUCCGGAGGAACACCGGUGGCGAAGGCGGCUUCCUGGACCGACACUGACGCUGAUGCGCGAAAGCUAGGGGAGCAAACGGGAUUAGAUACCCCGGUAGUCC